GACGAACGCUGGCGGCGCGCUUAACACAUGCAAGUCGAACGGAAAGGCCUGCUUUCCCUUGUGGAUUGCGGGUACUCGAGUGGCGAACGGGUGAGUAACACGUGAGUGAUCUGCCCCCAACUUGGGUAUAAGCCUGGGAAACUGGGUCUAAUUCCCGAUAGGACUGCAGGGUGGUGCCUGUGGUGGAAAACGAUUUUCUAGUGGUUGGGGAUGAGCUCGCGGCCUAUCAGCUUGUUGGUGGGGUAAUGGCCUACCAAGGCGGCGACGGGUAGCCGGCCGGGGAGGGUGGACGGCGACAUUGGGACUGGGAUACGGCCCAGACUCCGACGGGAGGCAGCAGUGGGGAAUAUUGCACAAUGGGCGGAAGCCUGAUGCAGCGACGCCGCGUGGGGGAUGACGGCCUUCGGGUUGUAAACUCCUUUCGACCGAGAGGAAGCCACCUGGUUGGAAGGGUGGUGACGGUAGUGGUAGAAGAAGCACCGGCUAACUACGUG
rnacentral:rRNA from 1 species